CUACGGGAGGCAGCAGUGAGGAAUAUUGGGCAAUGGGGGAAACCCUGACCCAGCAAUGCCGCGUGUGUGAAGAAGGCCUUCGGGUUGUAAAGCACUUUCAGUAGGGAAGAAAAGCCGAGGGAUAAUACCCCUCUGUGCUGACGUUACCUACAGAAGAAGCACCGGCUAACUCCGUGCCAGCAGCCGCGGUAAUACGGAGGGUGCGAGCGUUAAUCGGAAUUACUGGGCGUAAAGGGCGCGUAGGCGGUUUGGUUAGUCAGAUGUGAAAGCCCCGGGCUUAACCUGGGAAUUGCAUUUGAUACUGCCAGGCUCGAGUGUGGUAGAGGGAAGCGGAAUUCCGGGUGUAGCGGUGAAAUGCGUAGAUAUCCGGAGGAACACCAGUGGCGAAGGCGGCUUCCUGGACCAACACUGACGCUGAGGCGCGAAAGCGUGGGGAGCAAACAGGAUUAGAUACCCUUGUAGUCC
rnacentral:rRNA from 1 species